GGCUGGCUUUGAACCUCGCUCCUCAGAUCUCAGCCUCCUUAGUAGCUAGGAUGACAGACAGAGGUGAGCCAUCGGCGCCCAGCUGGAUAAAGGUUUUAAUAAUCUUAAAUGCUAUAUUGCUGAACCACUUGAUAACUUAUUUUUGUCAGGAUUGGACUCCAUAGGUCCCUGAUGAGCUCCUCUGACAAAAAUGUGAAAGAUCACCAAGAGCUUAAUCACUUUGGUGUUUGACCUAUUGUAGUCACAGGAAGAAUUUUCUUAACACUUAGAAAAAAAAUAAACUUCCCUAAAGAUAUAACAAAAGUACAUAUCAAGUUAUUAGUAGUCAGUGAUUUGAAUAUUUGUUUCUAAAAGUGAGCUAAGAUGAGUCUCCUGAGGGAAAAAGAAAAACCAAUGAGGAAAACUGAACUCGAAGUACUAGAGAUACAAAGCUUUGUUUGGGAGAGAUUCCAUUGGACCUCAGGGUGUAAAACACCUUCCACUUAGGAAUAACAGCACCACACUUAUGUCCAAGGCUUUGUUGGAGAAAAAAAGGUAUUUUUAUAAUGGUGACACAGCCCAGGG